rnacentral:lncRNA from 1 species
CAGUAUGACUGAUAGUUACAGAAUGGAAGGUUUAGUCUAAAGUUCAACAAUACAGUAUGACUGAUAGUUACAGAAUGGAAGGUUUAGUCUAAAGUUCAACAAUACAGUAUGACUGAUAGUUACAGAAUGGAAGGUUUAGUCUAAAGUUCAACAAUACAGUAUGACUGAUAGUUACAGAAUGGAAGGUUUAGUCUAAAGUUCAACAAUACAGUAUGACUGAUAGUUACAGAAUGGAAGGUUUAGUCUAAAGUUCCACAAUACAGUAUGACUGAUAGUUACAGAGUUUGUGGAAAAGGUAUUCAUACCUGGGCUAAACAAUGGGAUUCUGGCACUAUAACAGUAUGUGCAGAGUUGCUUCCCUUAGCUAUGAAAGGAGGUGAAGGAUCACAGAAUAAUCUUUGAUGAAAGGUCUGAUUGCUGGUAUUCUGUUUAAAGUGGAACUAAAACAGCCACUAGCAAGUUCAUGUUUCCCAAAAAGGCCUGUUGAAUAAUGAGAAAGUUAGGUUAGGUUUGGUUUGGUUAUAUUAAAAUUUCCAAAUUUGUUGUAAUUAUAUUUUGAUUUUGCAUUAUGUGCACCUAAUCAAAAAGGAAUUUGGUGCUUUGUAUCAAGAUAAGUGCAUCGAAUAUGAUUUACAUCAUAUUGUCUUCAUGUUGUUGUCUGAUAUAUUUUCCAUCACUUGUGCUUCCAUGCUGACUUAAAUGCAGGUUGUAUCUGAAUUUAGAUUUCUCUGAAGGGCAUUUAGAAGUGAACAUGAGUCAAAGAUGUUUUUGGUUUCAACUUCUUUAUUCAUUAAACAUGGUGUUUCCUACCAGAAGUGUAGGAAUUAACUCCAAAACGUCAUGUUUAACAAAUAAAUAAAUUGAGAUCCAAAAAUUCUUUUACCAGUACUCCUGAAAUAUAUUCACAGCCAAGACCAUUGUCUCCAUUCUUAGAAACCAGAAUGUGAAAGUCAUUUUGAACAUUGUGUGGUGAUUACCCAAUUCAUUUGCCAGUUUUCAGCCAUGAUUUUUUUGCAAUCACUUUUCUAACAGCCGUCCAUGUUGUGUGCUAGCUGAGUAGGUUUGAAGUGUGCCUGUGUAUUUAUUACAGACUGCUGAAAGCUUUGUACAAAGGAUGUACAGUGUCCUAGAUGUAGCUCAUUAGGACUGUUGAAGGCUUUGUACAAAGGAUGUACAGUGUCCUAGAUGUAGCUCAUUAGGACUGCUGAAAGCUUUGUACAAAGGAUGUACAGUGUCCUAGAUGUAGCUCAUUAGGACUGUUGAAGGCUUUGUACAAAGGAUGUACAGUGUCCUAGAUGUAGCUCAUUAGGACUGUUGAAGGCUUUGUACAAAGGAUGUACAGUGUCUUAGAUGUAGCUCAUUAGGACUGUUGAAGGCUUUGUACAAAGGAUGUACAGUGUCCUAGAUGUAGCUCAUUAGGACUGUUGAAGGCUUUGUACAAAGGAUGUACAGUGUCCUAGAUGUAGCUCAUUAAGUUGUGUGUUUGUCUCUGUACAGAUUAGCCAACAUGGCCACAGAAACACUACUGUCAUACAUGGUUCUCUAGCUGAUGCAUGAAGUGAAGUGAAGUUUUUAUUCAGCCAAACAUUUCCUGAAAGUCGUCCUAUCGCAAGUGGACAUGGAGUGGACAUCUAUGCUCCAACUUAAUGAAAAGUGCAACUUAAAGAUUUGGGGUGAUAUGUUAUGAAUUUGCCAUGAAGUUAUGGGCUGGUACAUUUAAUGUAUUGUUCCCUGUGGUUUAUGAUUAUGGAGGACCUAGACUUAAACGCUUUUGCUGAAUUUUUGAAGGAUCGUAAGACCCCCACAAUUCUCAUCAGUAUUAUUUCAUUCAGGGUCCCUACAUACUAAUUCCACAGAUCAUUGACCUCCAGCGUGUCAUAUAGUUGUGCCAGUAUUUUCUGAGGGGCUAAAUUCCACAUUUGCCUGAAUUGAUCCAUGGUCUGUUGGCACCGAAUUUGCAGCGAUUGUUUCCAGGAAAUGUUAAGUCUGCUUGUGUAUUUUCUCACCACAUCAAGUGGGCACGCUAUGAGGUACCUAAAUUAUUGUUCAGAGAGCAUCAAAACAAACUCACUGAUGUACAGUGUCAUGAUAUGAGUGGACCAGUGGUGGGUG